AGGGUUAGGAGUACGGUUAGGGUAGGGGUAGGGUUGAGUUAGGGGUAGGGUUGGGUUAGGAGCAGUGUUAUGGUAGGGUUAGGAGUAAGUUUAGGGUUAGGAAUAUGGUUAGGGUAGGGUUAGAAGUAGGGUUACCCUAACCCUACCCUAACCACUAAUCCUACCCCUAACCCUUCCCCAACCAUUAAACCUACCCCUAACCGUAACCCUACCCCAACCCUUAACCCUAACCCUACCCCCAACCCU